rnacentral:rRNA from 1 species
UUGUACCUGGUGGCGAGCGGCGGAAGGGUGAGUAAUGCCUAGGAAUCUGCCUGGUAGUGGGGGAUAACGCUCGGAAACGGACGCUAAUACCGCAUACGUCCUACGGGAGAAAGCAGGGGACCUUCGGGCCUUGCGCUAUCAGAUGAGCCUAGGUCGGAUUAGCUAGUUGGUGAGGUAAUGGCUCACCAAGGCGACGAUCCGUAACUGGUCUGAGAGGAUGAUCAGUCACACUGGAACUGAGACACGGUCCAGACUCCUACGGGAGGCAGCAGUGGGGAAUAUUGGACAAUGGGCGAAAGCCUGAUCCAGCCAUGCCGCGUGUGUGAAGAAGGUCUUCGGAUUGUAAAGCACUUUAAGUUGGGAGGAAGGGCAUUAACCUAAUACGUUGGUGUCUUGACGUUACCGACAGAAUAAGCACCGGCUAACUCUGUGCCAGCAGCCGCGGUAAUACAGAGGGUGC